AACGCGAAGAACCUUACCAGCUCUUGACAUGUCCAGUAUGGGGCCGAGAGAUCGACUCCUUCAGUUCGGCUGGCUGGAACACAGGUGCUGCAUGGCUGUCGUCAGCUCGUGUCGUGAGAUGUUGGGUUAAGUCCCGCAACGAGCGCAACCCUCAUCUUCAGUUGCCAUCAGGUAAAGCUGAGCACUCUGGAGAAACUGCCGGUGACAAGCCGGAGGAAGGCGGGGAUGACGUCAAGUCCUCAUGGCCUUUAUGGGCUGGGCUACACACGUGCUACAAUGGCGGUGACAGAGGGACGCGAAGGGGCAACCCUUGGCCAAUCUCAAAAAGCCGUCUCAGUUCGGAUUGUUCUCUGCAACUCGAGAGCAUGAAGCUGGAAUCGCUAGUAAUCGCGGAUCAGCACGCCGCGGUGAAUACGUUCCCGGGCCUUGUACACACCGUAGUAC
rnacentral:rRNA from 1 species